rnacentral:other from 1 species
AGUUAAUAAAUAAUAGUGGUAAUAUAUCCGCAUGUGAGUCCUACUAGGCUCCCUGGAAAGUAUUUUGAAAGCGAGGAAUGUAAAUGCUCGGCAAGGUAAAAUGGUUUAAUGCGGAAAAAGGUUAUGGCUUUAUUGAAAGAGAAGAAGGUGGCGAUGUAUUCGUUCACUUUUCCGCAAUCCAAGAAGAAGGUUUCAAAUCUUUAGCUGAAGGUCAAGAAGUUGAAUUCGACAUCGUUGAAGGCGCUCGUGGUCCUCAAGCUGCUAACGUUUAUAAGCGUUAAUUUACAUUGAAAACUUCGACCCUGGCCAUUGGCCAGGGUUUUAAA